CAUAUGGACAGCCUUACUGGCACGGUAAACCUAGCUGUCCAUGCUUAAAAAGAUCCGACAACGUCAUUUCCUCAAUUAGCAUAUGUAACAAUCUUUCUAACUGGUAUUUUCUGACAGUGGUUUGAGUAAGUCCGACAACCGUUACGAGUUGUGUCGGCCCAAUUGCUACCCUGCGCAGAAUGGUUGACAAUCCGACGAAGUGUCAAACUUCGGCACUUCGUCAUCGUUCUUAUUGGAUCGAGUGGUGGUAAUAUAAGACGAAUCAAGGGGAUUCGUCCUUCUUUGCCGUUUGACUUUUGAAGAAAAUAGUAGUGCGCGCCGUAAAGUGUCCUAGCUAAAAAAUUUGCCCUAAAUUACGAUUAGUAUCGAAUGUUAGUAGUUCAAAUUAGUGGUAUAAAAGUGUUAGUACGUUGUGAACAAGCAGUUAAACACGAAAACGAACAUCUAUAACAAUUACCAACUUAUAACAAAGAAAAGGUCCGAAAUCGGGCCUUUUCUUUUUGCGUUUCCUCGCGUGGUUUAUCCCGGAGGAACUUCUUUUAUCCGCAGUGAAGCCAAAGGACCAGUUUGGAGUGUAGGAAAGUUGGUUGGUGUGCCGAUAACCAGCUUAGUUCCGCCCGCCAUCUUGGAGCGUCCGUUCCAACAAUAGCAUCGACGCCAUUUUGAAAUUUCGGCCAUUGCAACAUCUUUACGGCUUCCUUACCGCUUUCAACGUUCGGUCAGUCGGAUUAAGACCAAUCCCGACAAGGAACCCGAACGAAAGAAGCCCAGCUGGUGGGCCACAGUCCGUCCAGCAACCCUACAUUGCCACAAUCCGUCCAACAACCCUACAUUUCCACACCGGCAAGAAACAGAUUCGAAAGAAGCCCAGCUGGUGGGCCCUAGUCCAUUCAGCAAUCACGGAAUCCAGUCGAUGAAGGCCAUGCUGGUGGGUCAUAGUCCGUUCAGCAGCCAUCUCAGGGAAAUAGCUUAACGCCCUCGGUCGAGGACCGAAUACCGACCCUCUUUCGCCCGUUUUCUCGCCAACAACCCGCCCAAUUCGCCGACAUCCAGCCAAGUUAGCCACCGUUCAUCACCAUCAAGCCUCGCCAACAACCCACCAAAAGCGCAAGUACCAUGUAACCGUCUCUCCACCAUACCAA